UACGUAGGGACCGAGCGUUGUCCGGAUUUAUUGGGCGUAAAGAGCUCGUAGGCGGUUCAGCAAGUCGGGUGUGAAAACUCUGGGCUCAACCCAGAGACGCCACCCGAUACUGCUGUGACUAGAGUCCGGUAGGGGAGUGGGGAAUUCCUGGUGUGAGCGGUGAAAUGCGCAGAUAUCAGGAGGAACACCGGUGGCGAAGGCGCCACUCUGGGCCGGCACUGACGCUGAGGAGCGAAAGCGUGGGUAGCAAACGGG
rnacentral:rRNA from 1 species